AUGGAGGCGGCGGAGGUGCCGGACGUGCCGGAGGAUCCGACCAUCAUGCUUGUCCAGAAGAUCAGCUCAGAGACGUGGCUGAAUCGCCACGUCAAAGCGACGGCCGCAAAGGAGGAGAAGAUGAGGAAGCAUCUGGCCGCCGGUGGGCCUGGUGGUGGCGAUGGUCCCGGCCGACAAGGCGGACUGGGCGGUCGGCGAGGCCCUGGCGGACGCCGCCAGACGGCCGCGCCCAUAGUGCUAACGGCGCCGUGGCCAGAGCCUUACAAUUCUCCAUACUACUACGCCGCCAAUUCGGAGGGCGCCAAGAUGUGA
rnacentral:rRNA from 1 species